GGGGAAUAUUGCGCAAUGGGGGAAACCCUGACGCAGCGACGCCGCGUGAGCGAAGAAGGCCUUCGGGUUGUAAAGCUCUGUUGUAAGGGACGAAAGAUCAAGGGAAUAACUGCCCUUGAAGUGACGGUACCUUACCAGCAAGCCCCGGCUAACUACGUGCCAGCAGCCGCGGUAAGACGUAGGGGGCGAGCGUUGUCCGGAAUUACUGGGCGUAAAGAGCACGUAGGCGGAUGUAUAAGUCAGGUGUGAAAGACCGCAGCCUAACUGCGGGGUUGCACUUGAAACUGUAUAUCUUGAGGGCAGGAGAGGUUAGUAGAAUUCCUGGUGUAGCGGUGAAAUGCGUAGAAAUCAGGAGGAAUACCAGUGGCGAAGGCGACUGACUGGACUGACCCUGACGCUGAGGUGCGAAAGCGUGGGUAGCAAAC
rnacentral:rRNA from 1 species